rnacentral:rRNA from 1 species
ACUCCUACGGGAGGCAGCAGUGGGGAAUAUUGGACAAUGGGCGCAAGCCUGAUCCAGCCAUACCGCGUGGGUGAAGAAGGCCUUCGGGUUGUAAAGCCCUUUUGUUGGGAAAGAAAUCCAGCUGGCUAAUACCCGGUUGGGAUGACGGUACCCAAAGAAUAAGCACCGGCUAACUUCGUGCCAGCAGCCGCGGUAAUACGAAGGGUGCAAGCGUUACUCGGAAUUACUGGGCGUAAAGCGUGCGUAGGUGGUCGUUUAAGUCCGUUGUGAAAGCCCUGGGCUCAACCUGGGAACUGCAGUGGAUACUGGACGACUAGAGUGUGGUAGAGGGUAGCGGAAUUCCUGGUGUAGCAGUGAAAUGCGUAGAGAUCAGGAGGAACAUCCAUGGCGAAGGCAGCUACCUGGACCAACACUGACACUGAGGCACGAAAGCGUGGGGAGCAAACAGGAUUAGAUACCCUGGUAGUCCACGCCCUAAACGAUGCGAACUGGAUGUUGGGUGCAAUCUGGCACGCAGUAUCGAAGCUAACGCGUUAAGUUCGCCGCCUGGGGAGUACGGUCGCAAGACUGAAACUCAAAGGAACUGACGGGGGCCCCCACAAGCGGUGGAGCAUGUGG